GAUGAACGCUGGCGGCGUGCCUAAUACAUGCAAGUCGAGCGAACGGACGAGAAGCUUGCUUCUCUGAUGUUAGCGGCGGACGGGUGAGUAACACGUGGAUAACCUACCUAUAAGACUGGGAUAACUUCGGGAAACCGGAGCUAAUACCGGAUAAUAUUUUGAACCGCAUGGUUCAAAAGUGAAAGACGGUCUUGCUGUCACUUAUAGAUGGAUCCGCGCUGCAUUAGCUAGUUGGUAAGGUAACGGCUUACCAAGGCAACGAUGCAUAGCCGACCUGAGAGGGUGAUCGGCCACACUGGAACUGAGACACGGUCCAGACUCCUACGGGAGGCAGCAGUAGGGAAUCUUCCGCAAUGGGCGAAAGCCUGACGGAGCAACGCCGCGUGAGUGAUGAAGGUCUUCGGAUCGUAAAACUCUGUUAUUAGGGAAGAACAUAUGUGUAAGUAACUGUGCACAUCUUGACGGUACCUAAUCAGAAAGCCACGGCUAACUACGUGCCAGCAGCCGCGGUAAUACGUAGGUGGCAAGCGUUAUCCGGAAUUAUUGGGCGUAAAGCGCGCGUAGGCGGUUUUUUAAGUCUGAUGUGAAAGCCCACGGCUCAACCGUGGAGGGGUCAUUGGAAACUGGAAAACUUGAGUGCAGAAGAGGAAAGUGGAAUUCCAUGUGUAGCGGUGAAAUGCGCAGAGAUAUGGAGGAACACCAGUGGCGAAGGCGACUUUCUGGUCUGUAACUGACGCUGAUGUGCGAAAGCGUGGGGAUCGAACAGGAUUAGAUACCCUGGUAGUCCACGCCGUAAACGAUGAGUGCUAAGUGUUAGGGGGUUUCCGCCCCUUAGUGCUGCAGCUAACGCAUUAAGCACUCCGCCUGGGGAGUACGACCGCAAGGUUGAAACUCAAAGGAAUUGACGGGGACCCGCACAAGCGGUGGAGCAUGUGGUUUAAUUCGAAGCAACGCGAAGAACCUUACCAAAUCUUGACAUCCUUUGACAACUCUAGAGAUAGAGCCUUCCCCUUCGGGGGACAAAGUGACAGGUGGUGCAUGGUUGUCGUCAGCUCGUGUCGUGAGAUGUUGGGUUAAGUCCCGCAACGAGCGCAACCCUUAAGCUUAGUUGCCAUCAUUAAGUUGGGCACUCUAAGUUGACUGCCGGUGACAAACCGGAGGAAGGUGGGGAUGACGUCAAAUCAUCAUGCCCCUUAUGAUUUGGGCUACACACGUGCUACAAUGGACAAUACAAAGGGCAGCGAAACCGCGAGGUCAAGCAAAUCCCAUAAAGUUGUUCUCAGUUCGGAUUGUAGUCUGCAACUCGACUACAUGAAGCUGGAAUCGCUAGUAAUCGUAGAUCAGCAUGCUACGGUGAAUACGUUCCCGGGUCU
rnacentral:rRNA from 1 species